rnacentral:rRNA from 1 species
AGUACCCGAAAACAAUCGAAACCGCAUGGUUUCGUUUUGAAAGGCGCUUUACGGUGCCGCUGAUGGAUGGACCCGCGGUGCAUUAGCUAGUUGGUGAGGUAACGGCUCACCAAGGCCACGAUGCAUAGCCGACCUGAGAGGGUGAUCGGCCACAUUGGGACUGAGACACGGCCCAAACUCCUACGGGAGGCAGCAGUAGGGAAUCUUCGGCAAUGGACGAAAGUCUGACCGAGCAACGCCGCGUGAGUGAAGAAGGUUUUCGGAUCGUAAAACUCUGUUGUUAGAGAAGAACAAGGGUGAGAGUAACUGUUCACCCCUUGACGGUAUCUAACCAGAAAGCCACGGCUAACUACGUGCCAGCAGCCGCGGUAAUACGUAGGUGGCAAGCGUUGUCCGGAUUUAUUGGGCGUAAAGCGAGCGCAGGCGGUUUCUUAAGUCUGAUGUGAAAGCCCCCGGCUCAACCGGGGAGGGUCAUUGGAAACUGGGAGACUUGAGUGCAGAAGAGGAGAGUGGAAUUCCAUGUGUAGCGGUGAAAUGCGUAGAUAUAUGGAGGAACACCAGUGGCGAAGGCGGCUCUCUGGUCUGUAACUGACGCUGAGGCUCGAAAGCGUGGGGAGCAAACAGGAUUAGAUACCCUGGUAGUCCACGCCGUAAACGAUGAGUGCUAAGUGGUUGGAAGGGUUUCCGCCCCUUCAGUGCUGCAGCUAACGCAUUAAGCACUCCGCCUGGGGAGUACGACCGCAAGGUUGAAACUCAAAGGAAUUGACGGGGGCCCGCACAAGCGGUGGAGCAUGUGGUUUAAUUCGAAGCAACGCGAAGAACCUUACCAGGUCUUGACAUCCUUUGACCACUCUAGAGAUAGAGCUUCCCCUUCGGGGGCAAAGUGACAGGUGGUGCAUGGUUGUCGUCAGCUCGUGUCGUGAGAUGUUGGGUUAAGUCCCGCAACGAGCGCAACCCUUAUUGUUAGUUGCCAUCAUUUAGUUGGGCACUCUAGCAAGACUGCCGGUGACAAACCGGAGGAAGGUGGGGAUGACGUCAAAUCAUCAUGCCCCUUAUGACCUGGGCUACACACGUGCUACAAUGGGAAGUACAACGAGUCGCGAAGUCGCGAGGCUAAGCUAAUCUCUUAAAGCUUCUCUCAGUUCGGAUUGUAGGCUGCAACUCGCCUACAUG